UUUUAUUUGUUUAUUUUAUUUAUACCUGCGUUAGGUUAGGUUAUUCUAAUUGAUACAGGAUCAAUUAUUGAUCCAGGAUUGAUAUAGAUCAAAUAUAUUAAAAAGAUGGAGAAAACGAAAAAAGCGGAAAAAUCAUCGAUUGAUCCUCAUAGAGAAUUUUUGGAUAUGGAUACGGAUGAAGAGGACUUUGGUCGACAAGAAAGUCCGGAAACGGAAGAGGAACAUCUUUCUGAACCGGUUAAGCCGGUCAUUGAUGAACAAGACUUAAAUAAAUUGGUACAAUAUGUAAAAGAUCUUACAAUGCUUUCUUCGAUCAAGGACUCCGAUUGGAACGAAAAUUGUCAUACAAUUAUUCGCGAGUACUUCGAGAAUCCAGUUCACGCAUUAUUAAGUAUAUAUUUUGAGAUGGAUACAUUGAGAGCGCGAUUAAAUAUUCCAGAAGAUGACCAAAUUGAAUUCGUAUAUUUUUUGCGGACGCCUUGGCACAUCUUCACUGUCGAUAAUUUUCACGCCAUGGUCAUUUUUGGCAGCAUCAAUCGUAAUGCGAUGAUGUGCGUGUUGAAAGCUAUGGAAAAUAUGUAUGCACCUGCUGCACUCAAUAGUGGUGAAUGGCCAGAGAUUAUCAGGAAUAAUCUGGUGUUCAAUCUACACAACUUUUUAACAUGUUUAACUGAAUCGGUUUACAAACCAAUGGGUUUGACUAAGCUUUAUGUACCGAAAGAAAAUUUGCCUGAUGUCGCAGCACCACCCAGAGAUGAAAAGCCAGAUUUAUCUAAGGAAGAUGGACAAUAUGUUUCUAAUAAAUUGCGAGAAUCGGAAAAGGCACAGAUAGAUAGAUUUGAAGGAAUCGUACGAUAUUGGAUCAAACAGAUACAAGAAGCAUUAGCGAAUACAUCUAAGAACACAACUAAAGGAAUCAUUUUUGACGAGCUGCAACAUUGGACAGCGAUAUAUUUCAAUCUGUGCUGUUUACACGAUCAACUGUCGAGUAAAGAAAUUCAAUCAAUAUUACGUCUGUUGGAGAAUGUUCGUUCUCCGAGUGUAGACUCUUUUCAACUAUUGACGUUACAACUUCACCAAGGAUUAGAACAAGCUGCAUCCAAUAUUGCAUAUCUGAAUGUUUUGUCGGAGGCAUGCAACGAUUUGAAAUGCCCGAAUGAGAUCGAAGAGCCUAUAACGAAAAUAUUGCUUUUGAUACUGUUUAUCUGGACGGAAUCGCCGUUUUAUAAUAUAUCGGACAACAUCGAGAUACUGUGUGAGAUUAUAAGCACUCAAAUAGUGCUUCAAUGUAAGAAUUAUGUCGAUUUACAAGCAAUAUUAGAAGGCGAUGUGGAAAAUGGAAUAAACAUACUUGAGAAAUGUAUUUCUUGCUGCAAAACAUACAGAAUCGUAUACAACAAAGUCACCAGUAUAACUUCGCACAUAAAAACGAAUAGGGAUUGGCAUGUGGAUGAACAAUUAGUAUUUAAACGCAUCAACACGUUUACGCAAAGAUGUUACGAUGUCAUUGAGAUUUGCAACGCUUUAAUCGUAUUUGGAAGGCGUAAUAAAGUGGGAAUGAUCGGCGGUGCAAAGGGUACUGAACACGAAGAUUAUUGCUGCCGAAUAGAGAAUUUAUUUUACGAGAAUCUCGAAAAAGUCAAACUAGUUCGCGAUAACAUUCUGGACGUUACGAAUUCCACAUGGCUAAAAAAUAUGCAGAAGUUUAGAGACUCUGUGACAGAAUUGGAGAAUAUGGUUAUAAGUCUGAUCGAUCGAAUAUUUGAAGAAGUUCAAACUAUUGAGGAGGGUAUUGAGGCUAUUUAUGCUUUGCAACGCUUUAAACAUAGAGAAUCCUUGCGAGAUACGUUAUCAACAAAAUGGGUACAGGUAUGGAAGAUAUUUAGUAAAGAAAUAGAGAGUUGCAGCAAUAGCAUGACUCUACGUGAAGUAUAUCAUCCAUUGCUUCAACAACACUCGGAAAAUGCAAUUAUGCUGUGCCUUAGUAAAUAUUUAGAACGAUUAUUUGACAUGAUGAUUGAUGCGUCUGACUGGAUAGGGGAAUGUGCAGCCGAAAACGGAAGUGACGUUUUCGAACACAGCUUGUUAUGCUAUAGAAAGUGCAAGCAAAACGAACAGAUGUGUAUAGUGCAGUAAUCAUAAUAAACAUAGAAAUUUUGAUAUUAUCAAAAUGAAUUUAGAACUAUUAGAAUCAUUUGGACAAAACUAUCCAGAG